GAUGAACGCUGGCGGCGUGCCUAAUACAUGCAAGUCGAGCGAACGGACGAGAAGCUUGCUUCUCUGAUGUUAGCGGCGGACGGGUGAGUAACACGUGGAUAACCUACCUAUAAGACUGGGAUAACUUCGGGAAACCGGAGCUAAUACCGGAUAAUAUUUUGAACCGCAUGGUUCAAAAGUGAAAGACGGUCUUGCUGUCACUUAUAGAUGGAUCCGCGCUGCAUUAGCUAGUUGGUAAGGUAACGGCUUACCAAGGCAACGAUGCAUAGCCGACCUGAGAGGGUGAUCGGCCACACAGGAACUGAGACACGGUCCAGACUCCUAAGGGAGGCAGCAGUAGGGAAUCUUCCGCAAUGGGCGAAAGCCUGAUGGAGCAACGCCGCGUGAGUGAUGAAGGUCUUCGGAUCGUAAAACUCUGUUAUUAGGGAAGAACAUAUGUGUAAGUAACUGUGCACAUCUUGACGGUACCUAAUCAGAAAGCCACGGCUAACUACGUG
rnacentral:rRNA from 1 species